GUUCAUCCAAAGCAUUCACCUUCGUCCUGAUCUUGCUGCAGCUGGUGUCGUCUAAUUUUAGCAGAACACUCUGCAAUCGAUCCAUCUCUUCAUAGGCAGGUAGUAAGAUUUGUGGAGAGUGGGAAAUGAGAGAAAUGCGAGACGAUUGUAGAAUACGGUGAAUCGUAUUCUUCAGAGAAGUGGCUGCAGCAUAAGCCGCCAUGACUUGAUUGAAAUAUGAUUGUGGUGGUGGUGGUGGAAGGUGUGAAGCCGGAGAAGUACUUGGCGACGGCGGUAGGUGGUGGUGAUGGAAGGAUAAGGAUUUUGAAGGUGGAAUUGUGAAAAUGAGAGCCUCUCCACAAAGUCAGCUCUUCACAACGUGGAAAUACUACGCUGCUAUGCUUUGAAAUUGAGGCCAUAUACACAUCAUUGUUUAAAGAUGAUCAACGGUCAUAUGUGGAUAAUCAAGACUUGGAGAUUAAUCGAAAAGUUUGAAUAAGUAAUUAGUGUGGUUUGAGGGGAACGAUUUUUAAUAAAUGAUUUAACAUGAUUAAAUUUUUAUAAAUAUUGAAUAUGAAUACGAUUUAAAAUAUAAAAAGUAUUAUUAGAAAAAAAAAUUAGUAGUAAUUUUUUUGGACGGACGACGAUAGUAACAAAAUACUACUAAUAUUUUCGCAAUAGAUUGGUAGGUGAGAAUCUUGGUUUGUCACCAUUUUUUUUUUUUUUAAACUCCUAAACCAACAAAUUCAGAUUUUACUAGUGAACAGAAAGUACAAUUGAUGAUAAUUGUAUCCGUAAAACGUUGAAACAAAGAACAAAAAUCAAGAGAGCAGGCUAAAAUCUCACUUUCAGUUACCAACAUAAGUAAAAUUUGCAAAUCAACUUUUCCUGGUAAUAAAAAAUUAACUCAAACCCUGAAACCCCUGCUGUUUCUUCUUCCUCUUGCCCUCUCAAACUUCCUUCCCUUGGCUCGCACGUAAGGCUUCGUGUGGCUGUGUGGCACACCAGGGGCUGGACCGAAAAUGAGUGGUUGAGCUUUGAUGGGCUUUGAAGGAUAAGCCGCCAUGACUUGAUUGAAAUAUAUUGUGUGGUGGUGGUGGUGGAAGGUGUGAAGGGGGAGGAGUUGGCGACGGCGGUAGGUGGUGGUGAUGGAAGGAUAAGGAUUUUGAAGGUGGAAUUGUGAAAAUGAGAGCCUCUCCACAAAGUCAGCUCUUCACAACGCGGAAUUACUACGCUGCUAUGCUUUGAAAUUGAGGCCAUAUACACAUCAUUGAUUAAAGAUGAUCAUUGGCCAUAUGUGGAUAAUCAUGAUUUGGAGAUUAAUCGAAAAGUUUGAAUAAGUAAUUAGUGUGGUUUGAGGGGAACGAUAUUUAAUAAAUGAUUUAACAUGAUUAAAUUUUUAUAAAUAUUGAAUAUGAAUACGAUUUAAAAUAUAAAAAGUAAUAUUAGAAAAAAAAAUUAGUAGUAAUUUUUUUGGACGGACGACGAUAGUAACAAAAUACUAAUAUUUUCGCAAUAUAUUGGUAGGUGAGAAUCUUGGUUUGUCACCAUGAUCAUAUUUCUGUGCUGCUGAAAUGCUUCUUGCAAUAGAUUGGUAGCUAAGAAAUUAAUUCACAACUAAUAUAUAAAUAUGUAAUCGCAAUUGGUAACCAACAAAUCAAGAGAGCCAAUUUUAUGAAUUCAUCUAAGACAGCUACAAGAAUUUUGCUCAUAGACAACAGAGACAAUAAACUCAACUGCUCUGCUCUGAUUCUAACACCUUGUUUGAUCCUCAUAUGAAAAUUUAAUGAACUAAUUCCAAGUUAAUUUUGAAAUUAUGAACCCAGAAAUUAAUUAGUACUAGCAUUUGCACUCGUGUAACGCACGAAAAAUAUUUAUAUAUUUUAUUAUAUAUAAAUUGAUAUUAAUUUGAUUAUUAUAUAAAAAUUCUAAAUAUAAUUAAAAAUACUAUAAUUUAAGAUAAAUAUAUUUUAGUUUAAUAUAAAAAUAAUAAAGAAUAAUUCAUAUUAAUAAAAAUUGAUAUUGUAAAAAAAGAAAACAAUAUAAGUUAAAAGAUAAUUGAAAAAAAUAUAUAUUUAUUCAAAAAAGGAGGAGACAGGAGAGAGAAUUUUCUUAAGUUUUAAUUUUUAAAUAAAUAUAAUUUUUAUAUUUUAAAUUCAAUAUUUACAUAACAUAUAUCAAAUUAAAGCACUUGUCAUGAUCUUUAACUGAUAUGCAUAUCAAAUAUUUUAUAAUUAGUCGAAUUUCACAAUUUUAAAAAAGAAAUAAAAUAGAAAAAUAAGAAGUUAAAGAAAAAAGGAAAAAAAAAUGUAUAGCUUAUAAAUAAACCUUCAAUUUUGUUCUAACUACAAAAUUGUCACUCAAUUUUGAAAUUGAUUUGAAAUCAAUUUGAAAUCAGUUUGAAAUUGAUAACUCUCUUUUUUUAAUAUAGUAUAGAUAUUGACCGAAAUCUGAAAAUGUUAAGCUAUUAAAAAACACAUAUAUCAACUUAUUACACACAAGAUCAAAACAAAGUGAAAUCAUGCAUAACAAGUAAUGCUUUCACACAAAUCCAACUUACAACAAUUUCAGCAUUCAAGUUUCAUAAUCCUCAACAAAAUCCAAAUCAAGUUACAAUCCUUAAAUUCACACGAGUCUGACCCCUUCAGCUCUCCCAUUUGCCUGAAAAUUUAUAGAAAUGUGACUAUAACGAAGAUAUAUAUUUUUGACAUGAACUGAUUUGAGUUGUCUGUGAAAAAAGAGAAAGAGCAGGGAAGAAACAUUAAGACGUGCUAUAUAUUGCAAAGUAGUAUAAGACUAACCUGUCGGGCAAGUUGCUGAGUCACUUGAGCUCAAAAAGAAGAACGAGUGAUAAGUUUGAUGUAAAACGAGCCUUUUAAUUGAUUGGUACAAAAGACAACUAAAGGAUUGCACUCAUCUAAUUCAAUGGACGUCAUCGAAGACUGAUCAACCGACAAAUCGAGUUGUUGCAAUUUGUAGCAGUGCUUCAUCCUUAGUGCACGAAGCCUCGGGAGGCUUCCACGUUGAGGUCUCCAUUGCACCAAAUCGGUGUCUUCAAUUCGAAGUUCAAUAAGAUUCAAGAAACUCCCCGGUUUUAUUUCCCACUCUGGGCCUCGAAAGGCAUAGCAAUGUAAUGUGAGAAGCUCGAGUUUUGGCAGCAGCAAACCAAUGUCAUUUAGAGACUCCCAAGGAUAUCCCAACCCACUCAAAGAUAACACUAUGAGACUUGAUGGGAACAUUGAAAGAUGAAGAAUAGUAGGAAACUCACUCUUUAUCUCCGGAUUAGUGAUAUAAUAUACAAGUGCUUCCAAAUUCUGGAGUUUUGAUAUAUAACUUAAAGAACUCAAUGGGUUGGUUUCUUCAUCAUCAUCAUAAGGCUUCAACUCCACUCCAAUCCCUAAUGACUUUAAAUUAGGAAUUCUUUUGAGAACUUCCCUUGUACAACUGUUUGCACUCACACCAAAAAGUGUGGUGAGUUUGUUCAAUGUAGCAUCAUUAGAAUUAGGGGUUGGUAGGUCCCUUCCUAGUAGCAUUAAAUGUUGUAGUUCUUGCAUGUUCCAAAUUUGCACAGGCACAAAAGACUGAACUCCACGUUUUUUAAUGAUCAUAUGUCUACCAAUAAUCAAAAAUUGAAGGUGAAAAAGGUUGGAUAUGGAAGCAGGGAGGUCACCGUUGUAAGUUAUGGCAAGAUAUCGUAGACAAACUAGUUUGAAAAUUUCAGUUGGGAUAUGGUAAAAUCGGACAUUAAUAGCAUGUAGUACCUUGAGCAACUUGAAACCCAUGGCAUGUAUUGGCAGUGGAUAUGGGUGAUAAGGACCAUAGCAAAGGAGAGAACGGACAAUGGAUGCACAAUCACUUCUUAUCGAAUCACACACUUGUUUGAAGCAGAAUAAACUGUUCCAAUGGGCACACAAGCGGCGUUGGUCUUUUAUAACAUCGUCACAACUUUGUAAGACAUGCAGAAACUUGACCCUACUAGCUUCUUCCCUACACACGUGCUGCCAGCAAGAAUGCACACGAUACUUGCUAUACCAAUAGUCAUCAUCAUGUGAUGCGUCGAGAACAAGAUGAUACCACAUACAAAGCUUGCCCAAGCAUGUCUGCCAAAAAUAUUCAAAACUUUCUUCUCCACUAGGUUGAAGAAACAUAUCAGCACUCAACGUAGCGUUGAGCGUGGUUAGUCAAUAUCCAUAUAUGGACAGUAAGCUCCCAUGUAGAGAAAUAACAUUUUUAAAUAUUGGGGUAAGUAAUCAUAGCUUGGGUAAAGUACCUCUGAUAUUUGAUUAUAUGCAUCUAGGAAGACUGGACUAUGUUGUUUGACGAGUACCUCAGUCCAGUAUUCUGGGGUCUUGUCGGCUUUUGAUAGGAGCUCUGCAACCGUGAUUAUCAUAAGAGGAAGACCUUCACAUUUCUUGGCAAUCUUCUCUCCGAGUUUCUCAAGUUGAGGAGGGAAACCCUCUUCACCAAAAACCUUCUCACCAAGUAGUUCCUUACUUUCUUCUUCAUUCAACAAGCGUACUCUUUCGUACCCAUGCUGCGAGAAUUUUAUAUUAUCUCUACUUGUAAGUAAGAAUCGAAUCCUUCUACCAAUUUUCUUUUCUCGUAAGCAACUUGUCAAGCAAUGAGUUGCUUUCCAAACAUCAUCCAACACGAUAAGACAUUUCUUAUGCUUCAAUGUUUCUUUCAAUCGUCCAACUAAUUCCUCCUCAUCAUCAUCUCCUUGAAUAAGCAUUUGGUAAGCGUUGGGAUCCACUUGAGAUAGAACACAUCGUAAUAGUUCAUUAGAUUCACAUUUUCUGCCCACUUUGACCCAUGCUCGAAAAUCAAAAUGGCUCCGAAUUGAUGGAUCUUCAAAAAUAUGCUUAGCAAGAGUUGUCUUUCCAACGCCCGCCAUCCCAAUAAUCGAAUAGUUUUUAUCUUCAAGAAGAUCAUCUCUGGCUUUUCGAAAUUCAUGAGAUAAUCCAACCAUCUUUGAGUUGAUUCCACCAAAAUCGAUUCUUGAGGAAAUAGGCUCGCCUUCUUCUUCUGGCAUAUUCUCCAUUUCAUAAGUGUAUUCCUCCUCCAUCUUCUUCACCAUCUCGACGAAGCAAUCAACACGGUGUUGCAGACUCUGCAGCUCUACAGAGAAUGACAAGCUGCCUCUCUCGCUAUCGAGUUGUGGAAGAAUCUGAUGUAAGACAUGAGAUUCGAGUAAAUCUUCAAACUCCCAAACUGCCUCUUUGAUUCGUUCAUCCACAACAUUCACCUUCGUCCUGAUCUUGCUGCAGCUGGUGUUGUCCAAUCUUAGCAGAACUAUCUGCAAGUGAUCCAUCUGGUCGUAGGCAGGUUGCAAGAUUUGUGGAGAGUGGGAAUCGAGAGAAAUGCGAGAUGAUUGUGGAAUACGCUGAAUGGUAUUCUUGAGAGAAGCCGCCGCACCAUAAGCCGCCAUAUCCAAAUAAUCUGCUGAUUGUUGAAAUAAAAUUGCUUCCACAAACUUAGCUCAGAAAUUUUCUUCCAAAACUGUGUGGUAGAAAUCGCCUAAGAAAGAAACGGAGAAGAAGAAGAAUUAUACUAAUAAGCAAAUGUAGAUGAAACAAAUUAAUGAUACAUCUUUAGCUCUCUGCUGCUAUACCUGAUCUCGUGGCGCAAGUCAACGGCGGCGGCAGCUGGUUUUGAUACAAUUUCAGAAGCAUUCAAGAAUUUGAGUAAAUGAUUUGAAGAGAUGUGUAUAAUGCAAUGGUAAAAUGGAUGUAUUGAUGAUUUUGAAGGCAAAUUAAGGUGUGGAAGAAUAAUUAUAGGAGCGACAAACAAAUUAAGCAACGGAAGAUUAAUUAUGAAGAUUGAGCAGUUGAUCAAGCCGAGCACGUUGAAAAUUAUAACAGCUGCAAGCAAUCUAACUCAUAAAUAAUAACAACUUGACAUUUUUACAUAAUUUAAAAUUUUAAAAUAAAUAAAUAUAUUGUGGCUAGUAGUGUACAUUAAAUAAAAAUACUGAUAAAUUGCAAACAUUAAUUUUCUACAUUGUUAGAGGUGUAACUCUGUUUAAUUUAUUUGAAUUAUCGAGUUUGACAUGAAUUUUUUACGUAGAUUAGCUUAUCUUUUGAAAAGUUUGAUCAUUUAUAUUUACAUGCAAUUCAUCCAAUUUUUUACUUAUAAAUUAUAUGUCAACAAAAUUGGAUUUUGGGUGGUUGUAUAUAUAUUCAUUUUGUUAAACUAAUAAUAAUAAUAAUAAAUAAUAAUAAAAAAAUAGAUAAAUUUAACCUUAUAACUCCCUAGUGUGUUGUAUGUUGUUUCAAGGAUUUUAGGUUUUAUUUGUCCUGUUUAAUAAAAUAUUAGUAUUUCGAUUAANUUGGGCUUUUGGCACUUCGACCUUUUGUUAUUUGGAUCCUUUCUCGGCCCAUCUUUUUUUCUAAUUAAAGAAAAAAAAUAUUAGCUUCUAAAUAAAUUCAAACUUGUAUAAUAAAAAAAUUGAACUGAAUUGCUUACCAAAUAUUAUAACAUUUGAAAAAUCUUUGAUUGAAGGGGAAGAAUGGCAGGAGAAAAAAGAUGGUGAAAAAAAUAUGGUUCAAAGAAAAUUAUGCAUAACACAGAAAAAUUACAGUCCAUGAAUAAGAGACAAAUGUUUUCACACAAAUCCAACUUACAACAAUUUUUGCUACAAACACAUUCUGCACUCAGGUUUCAUAUAUAAUCCUCAACAAAUCACAAUCCUUAAAUUCAUACAACAAUGUGGUAAUACAACAAUUGAAUUCAAAUCAUGGGAUGACGCGGCGUCUGAUCCCUUCGGCUCUCUCAUUUGCCUGAAAAUUUAAAUAUUAUAACAAAACAACAUCAAAUUUAAAUAAAGCUAUGUGAUUUGUUGUAAGACAGAUCGAUAGACAUAGUAAUGGCAUAGGAAGCCAAAAUUGGGUUAACUGAAGCCCCCUCCCAAUUUUUAAAAGAAUGCAUAAAAGUAUGUUUUUGUAUGCUUUCAAUCUACUUAAUGUUGAAUUAAUUGAAUUGCAAACAAUUAUCUAUUAUAUUAAGUGAUUGUUAAAAAAAUGCAUGAAAAUGAAGUGUAAGUAAUGCUAAAAAAAAAUUGCUUCAAUCCUGGAUCCACCUCUGCUUCAAAAAAUUUGCCUCAAAAAAUGAACCCCCAUGUAAAUAUCUUCAAACGUCAUAGAUCAAUAAAUUCAGCCCUCCCUAACCUCCAAUCCUGGAUCCGCCCCUGCUUCUGCGUCCCAAACAUCAUCCAACACAAUGAGACAUUUCUUAUCCUUCAAACUUUCUUUCAAGAUUCUAACUAAUUCUGCCUCAUCAUCUCCUUGGAUCCGCCAUGACUUGAUUGAAAUAUGAUUGUGGUGGUGGUGGUGGUGGAAGGUGUGAAGCGGGAGGAGUUGGCGACGGCGGUAGGUGGUGGUGAUGGAAGGAUAAGGAUUUUGAAGGUUAAAUUGAGUGGUUGAGCUUUGAUGGGCUUUGA
rnacentral:lncRNA from 1 species